rnacentral:tRNA from 1 species
GGGUCGGGGCAGCCGGAUUUGAACCAGCGACCUCGUCGUCCCGAACGACGCGCGCUACCGGACUGCGCCAUGCCCCG